rnacentral:tRNA from 1 species
GCAACCCGACGCAAUCUAGGGAAAGAGGGUUUUAACUGACUUCGGAUCAGAAGGUUGCAGGUUCAAGUCCUGCCCGGUGCACCA